rnacentral:misc_RNA from 1 species
UAUCUACUUUCCACUGAAAAUGGAAACCUUUAAGCCAGGAAUUGCAUAGUGACAUGAUGAUGAUGUCCACGUCUUUUUCUCAACUUAAAUUGCCAUUUCAAUUUCAAUGCUACCCAGCAGUCAAUGACUAUGUUUCAGACUAUAAUCAUGCAUACUAUAUUAGAAUCUUAUUUAGAACAGUGCGGUUUCAAGUCUCAAUUCAAGUUAAAUAAAUAAAUAAAAAGACUUUAAUCAUGCAAACUAGCAUCUAAAACACAUUUCUGGUACCAAAAGCUCCUAAUCAUUCAAUGAAUAAGCAUACUCAUCCCCGGGGAAUCAAACCCCAUUAAAAUGUCCCUUGAAAAGAUCCACUACAAUACCCUUAACAAGCAUCCACACCUCAGAAAACCGCAGUUGAAUGAUCCUUCAAAUGCACUACAUGUUUAUUAGUUUGGUUAAUUAACAAAGAAGAUUUACACAAGGAGGAAAGAAUUUAUGCAUGGAAGGCAUACAAGGAAAAAUGCCCCCUUCAUAAAAAUAAAAUAAAAUACAAGAAAAUAUGUUAAGGUACAAGGGCUUACGAAGUGGGAUACAACCUCCUGCAUUUCUCAACAAACAAUACACACAAGUACUCUCCUCACUAUCAGAUCUUUUAUCUCUUGCCAUAUCAGGAUGGAGACAAAAAGUGGUUUAGUCUGGUAAUUUCAACCGGUUAAACAACACCAGGAAACUUUGCUCAGGAAUAACGUAAAGGAAACCAAGAUCUGCACCUUUGAAAUAUGGUCCAAUGCCCUUCCCAUUGAGUUGGAGAAGUUCACCGUCAACCCAUUGAGGAUUUCGAAACCCAAAUUCUGCUAUUCUUCCUUGACCUUUGUAACUUGCAACCACUCCUAAUUCAUCUGGAUACAUUCCACGGUUAGAAUUGCGACUCCCUUUCCCAAUUCUGGCACGAAAAGUUACCUGGCCAGCAGGAACAUUAAGAUCCCCAGUCAGUUUCACUGCCUCAACAUACUCGAAGAAUUCCACAUCCGAGGGCUUUUCAUCCCCACCAUUCCAAUGACCAAAUUUCCGCCUCAAUUGUACUACCUCUGUUCCAUAAGGGCCAAAAGCACCAACAUAUAGGCCUGCACUUCAACCAUCAGAUUACACCAUCAAUAAAUAUCUUCUAUCAAUUAAAUCAAGGAUGAUCACAGUGCACAAUGAACCCCACUCUGUGAGGGUCAGAGUAUAUCAAGGAAAUUGGGAAAAAAGAAAUGUAAACUGACGGACCAUCAAAUGGAUCAAAAUUAUUAUUGGAAGUGGUAAUUCUACUGAAAUUUGUAUACUUGGCUAAACGGCUUUGUUUCUGAGCUUGACUAACAGCAAGUUUGACAAUUUCACGCACAUCUCUUGAAACCUGAUAUAAAAACAAAUGAUUAAUCAACUUCUUGUUGAGAGAAACAUAUUCUUGAAAUAAAGUAGCAGGAUGUUAUAGACAUCUUUCAGGGAAAAAAGAUCUGAACAGUGACUAACAAUUACAAAGAUUUUAACAUUCAUAUAGUUACCAGAUUUUGAUUAUGAAUCAAACAGGAUGAAAUUUGACCAACACAAUAGCACUGAACUUCAAUAUUUAUAAAAUUCCAGCAUCCUGUGGUUGUCCAAUUUGAUGCUGGAAGCCUGGAACAGCUAAUGAAAAUCAUAGCUAUUAUCGGAAUAACGAUUUUCAUAUAGCUUGAUAGGAAACUAAGAAAUUGCACAACAGGGUAGGCUUUGCUUUUUUU